UAGCUCAGUCAGUUGAGCGUAGCGCUAACAAUGCUAAGGUCGCGGGCUCGAUUCCCGU
rnacentral:tRNA from 1 species